UACCCCGUAUUCUCAGUUGUCUCUUUCAGUUGUCAAUGUCAGUUUCUCAGUUGAAAUGUUUUUCAGUAUUCUCUUCUCAAUAAAGCAGAGAAUGUAUUGUGCAACGUUUAGUACAAUGACAAGAACCCUGUACAAUCCUCGAGGGAGAGAGAAUAAAUUAUUUUCCAAAUCGAAACAGUUGAUGUAACUGUUUCUAGAAAUACUCGUGGACUGGUGGUACAAACGGUACCGAAUGUUAAGCGAAUCUCUGCAGAAUAAGUUGAAGCUUUUAUCAUGGGCAGAGCCCGGCCAAAAUCCGGAACAGAUAUAGUCUUCCGUAACUGCUUCCCUUACGAGACCACAAUGGGAACAUUUAAAAGCGGCUGUUUUCAAUUCAAAUGAACCUAUCAAUUACAAUGCGAUCAGUUAAUUACAAUAUUCUUGAACAGGAUUUUCUUCUUGAAUUAAACCUGUGUUUGUUGUCACUCUCACAUCUCUUGAACCAAACACAGAACUGAGAGUAUGAGACAUUCCACAUUGACAAAUGUUAAGUAGAAAAAAAGGGACACUUACAUCUGAAAAAAAAAAUAUCUAAUAAAUUAUAUAAAUGCAUGAGCAAAAUUUUCUUUGUAAAUCAUACCUUGAAUUUCUAUUCACCAAUAAUAUUCAUAAUCAUAAACUCAUUCUGUAACAAAAGCCUAACAGCUGUGCCUUCACAGCAGAUUUCCCGAUCAUGAAACACCAUUUUUGUAUGUGUUAAUAAAUCACAGAAAUAGCACAAAAUCUUCCUGUAUGAUAAGCACUUUACACAGGAAGUUGUUGUUGUGUUGCUAUCAUGGCAAACACAAGUAUGAAAUGACCGAGAUGAUGCUUCCAACAAAUUUCUUAGUUUCCCAUGUUGCUUCUUUCUCUCUUAUACUGUUUUUGUGUACUGUAUUCUGAUUUACUGCUUCCCGAGUAUUUUUCUUUCUCUUAUGCUUUUUGUCAGUUACUUGCAUUUCAUACUUGAAAUAGAGCUUUCCAAUUUUUGAAGAUGAAGGCCAAGGCAAUCUGGUGAAGGCCAAAGCAAUACAAGUUGGGUUCCAAGAGCAA